rnacentral:rRNA from 1 species
UACGUAGGGUCCGAGCGUUGUCCGGAAUUAUUGGGCGUAAAGGGCGCGUAGGCGGCCUGACAAGUGGAAGGUGAAAUCCCUCGGCUCAACUGAGGAACUGCCCUCCAAACUGUUUGGCUUGAGACCGGGAGAGGUGAGUGGAAUUCCCAGUGUAGCGGUGAAAUGCGUAGAUAUUGGGAGGAACACCAGUGGCGAAGGCGGCUCACUGGACCGGAACUGACGCUGAGGCGCGAAAGCGUGGGGAGCAAACGGG